rnacentral:rRNA from 1 species
UACGUAGGGGGCAAGCGUUGUCCGGAAUCAUUGGGCGUAAAGCGCGUGUAGGCGGCUCGAUAAGUCUGCUGUGAAAGUCCAGGCUCAACCCUGGGAUGCCGGUGGAUACUGUCGAGCUCGAGUCCGGAAGAGGCGAGUGGAAUUCCUGGUGUAGCGGUGGAAUGCGCAGAUAUCAGGAGGAACACCUAUAGCGAAGGCAGCUCGCUGGGACGACACUGACGCUGAGACGCGAAAGCGUGGGGAGCAAACAGG